rnacentral:RNase_P_RNA from 1 species
UCAGCCGGCCGGGCAGCCGCUCCGGAUCCUUUCGGAUCCGGGGAGGAAAGUCCGGGCUCCAUGGAGAGACGGUGCCGGAUAACGUCCGGCGGGGGCGACCCCAGGGACAGUGCCACAGAGAGCAGACCGCCCCGGACUCGUCCGGGGUGAGGGUGAAAGGGUGCGGUAAGAGCGCACCGCGGACGCGGCAACGCGGACGGCACGGCAAACCCCACCGGGAGCAAAACCGAAUAGGGGCGGCGCGUCCCCCGUGAGGGGGGCAGGCCCGCUCUCCAGGCCAGUCGCCCGGGUUGGUUGCUCGAGGCGGUCGGCAACGGCCGUCCCAGAGGAAUGGCUGCCACGCCGGAAGGUGCGAGCCUUCCGGCCCUACAGAACCCGGCUUACAGGCCGGCUGAUCCA